GCAGGGGGUGUGGGAGAGCGUGAACACCAGAUGGUUGAUUCGUAAGCGUUCGCUCAGAAGAACCACGGGGCCGGCGGGAGGGGGACGGAGACCUGCCCGUCGCCCGACGGGGACUGAGGAGGGGGCAGCCCGGGCGGGGGAUGGACGCAGAGAAGAUGGAUGAGAAUGAAUGGAAAUACCACGGGGAAGGGAACAAGAGCCUCGUCGUCUCCCACAGCCAGCGUUGUGUGGUGCUGCGUUUUCUGAAGUUUUCCCCAAACCUCAAUAAGCGACUGGCACAUCUCAGUAUAAUAGUCUUGAACGUUUCCAUGCUUCUGAGGUCUCACAUCUGUCACAUCUCCCCUGCUGGAAGAUAAAGAAGUGAACCCCAUGAAUCCUUGGCAAGUAACAAU